rnacentral:rRNA from 1 species
AGUGAACGCUGGCGGCAGGCCUAACACAUGCAAGUCGAACGGCAGCACAGAGGAGCUUGCUCCUUGGGUGGCGAGUGGCGGACGGGUGAGGAAUGCGUCGGAAUCUGCCUUUUUGUGGGGGAUAACGUAGGGAAACUUACGCUAAUACCGCAUACGACCUACGGGUGAAAGUGGGGACCGCAAGGCCUCAAGCCGAAAGAUGAGGCGAAGCCGGGUUAGCUAGUUGGCGGGGUAAAGGCCCACCAAGGCGACGAACCGUAGCUGGUCUGAGAGGAUGAUCAGCCACACUGGGACUGAGACACGGCCCAGACUCCUACGGGAGGCAGCAGUGGGGAAUAUUGGACAAUGGGCGCAAGCCUGAUCCAGCCAUGCCGCGUGUGUGAAGAAGGCCUUCGGGUUGUAAAGCACUUUUGUCCGGAAAGAAAUCCUUUCGAUUAAUACUCGGGAGGGAUGACGGUACCGGAAGAAUAAGCACCGGCUAACUUCGUGCCAGCAGCCGCAGUAACAC